UGCAGUAUUAUGGUGGGAGUGACUCGAUU
rnacentral:piRNA from 1 species